UACGUAGGGUGCGAGCGUUAAUCGGAAUUACUGGGCGUAAAGCGUGCGCAGGCGGUUCGUUGUGUCGGCGGUGAAAUCCCCGGGCUCAACCUGGGAAUGGCCGUUGAAACUGGCGAACUGGAGUGUGGCAGAGGGGGGUGGAAUUCCGCGUGUAGCAGUGAAAUGCGUAGAGAUGUGGAGGAAUACCGAUGGCGAAGGCAGCCCCCUGGGCCAAUACUGACGCUCAUGCACGAAAGCGUGGGGAGCAAACAGG
rnacentral:rRNA from 1 species